rnacentral:misc_RNA from 1 species
GAUGAAGAACGCAGCGAAAUGCGAUACGUAAUGUGAAUUGCAAAUUCAGUGAAUCAUCGAGUCUUUGAACGCACAUUGCGCCCCCUGGUAUUCCGGGGGGCAUGCCUGUCCGAGCGUCAUUGCUGCCCUCAAGCACAGCUUGUGUGUUGGGCCCCGUCCUCCGAUCCCGGGGGACGGGCCCGAAAGGCAGCGGCGGCACCGCGUCCGGUCCUCGAGCGUAUGGGGCUUUGUCACCCGCUCUGUAGGCCCGGCCGGCGCUUGCCGAUCAACCCAAAUUUUUAUCCAGGUUGACCUCGGAUCAGGUAGGGAUACCCGCUGAACUUAAGCAUAUCAAUAAGCGGAGGA